rnacentral:rRNA from 1 species
AGAGUUUGAUCCUGGCUCAGGACGAACGCUGGCGGCGUGCCUAAUACAUGCAAGUCGAGCGAGCGGAACUAACAGAUUUACUUCGGUAAUGACGUUAGGAAAGCGAGCGGCGGAUGGGUGAGUAACACGUGGGGAACCUGCCCCAUAGUCUGGGAUACCACUUGGAAACAGGUGCUAAUACCGGAUAAGAAAGCAGAUCGCAUGAUCAGCUUUUAAAAGGCGGCGUAAGCUGUCGCUAUGGGAUGGCCCCGCGGUGCAUUAGCUAGUUGGUAAGGUAAAGGCUUACCAAGGCGAUGAUGCAUAGCCGAGUUGAGAGACUGAUCGGCCACAUUGGGACUGAGACACGGCCCAAACUCCUACGGGAGGCAGCAGUAGGGAAUCUUCCACAAUGGACGCAAGUCUGAUGGAGCAACGCCGCGUGAGUGAAGAAGGUUUUCGGAUCGUAAAGCUCUGUUGUUGGUGAAGAAGGAUAGAGGUAGUAACUGGCCUUUAUUUGACGGUAAUCAACCAGAAAGUCACGGCUAACUACGUGCCAGCAGCCGCGGUAAUACGUAGGUGGCAAGCGUUGUCCGGAUUUAUUGGGCGUAAAGCGAGCGCAGGCGGAAGAAUAAGUCUGAUGUGAAAGCCCUCGGCUUAACCGAGGAACUGCAUCGGAAACUGUUUUUCUUGAGUGCAGAAGAGGAGAGUGGAACUCCAUGUGUAGCGGUGGAAUGCGUAGAUAUAUGGAAGAACACCAGUGGCGAAGGCGGCUCUCUGGUCUGCAACUGACGCUGAGGCUCGAAAGCAUGGGUAGCGAACAGGAUUAGAUACCCUGGUAGUCCAUGCCGUAAACGAUGAGUGCUAAGUGUUGGGAGGUUUCCGCCUCUCAGUGCUGCAGCUAACGCAUUAAGCACUCCGCCUGGGGAGUACGACCGCAAGGUUGAAACUCAAAGGAAUUGACGGGGGCCCGCACAAGCGGUGGAGCAUGUGGUUUAAUUCGAAGCAACGCGAAGAACCUUACCAGGUCUUGACAUCUAGUGCCAUUUGUAGAGAUACAAAGUUCCCUUCGGGGACGCUAAGACAGGUGGUGCAUGGCUGUCGUCAGCUCGUGUCGUGAGAUGUUGGGUUAAGUCCCGCAACGAGCGCAACCCUUGUUAUUAGUUGCCAGCAUUAAGUUGGGCACUCUAAUGAGACUGCCGGUGACAAACCGGAGGAAGGUGGGGAUGACGUCAAGUCAUCAUGCCCCUUAUGACCUGGGCUACACACGUGCUACAAUGGGCAGUACAACGAGAAGCGAGCCUGCGAAGGCAAGCGAAUCUCUGAAAGCUGUUCUCAGUUCGGACUGCAGUCUGCAACUCGACUGCACGAAGCUGGAAUCGCUAGUAAUCGCGGAUCAGCACGCCGCGGUGAAUACGUUCCCGGGCCUUGUACACACCGCCCGUCACACCAUGGGAGUCUGCAAUGCCCAAAGCCGGUGGCCUAACCUUCGGGAAGGAGCCGUCUAAGGCAGGGCAGAUGACUGGGGUGAAGUCGUAACAAGGUAGCCGUAGGAGAACCUGCGGCUGGAUCACCUCCUU